rnacentral:rRNA from 1 species
AGGUGCUUGCACCUUUCAAGCGAGUGGCGAACGGGUGAGUAACACGUGGAUAACCUGCCUCAAGGCUGGGGAUAACAUUUGGAAACAGAUGCUAAUACCGAAUAAAACUUAGUAUCGCAUGAUAUCAAGUUAAAAGGCGCUACGGCGUCACCUAGAGAUGGAUCCGCGGUGCAUUAGUUAGUUGGUGGGGUAAAGGCUUACCAAGACGAUGAUGCAUAGCCGAGUUGAGAGACUGAUCGGCCACAUUGGGACUGAGACACGGCCCAAACUCCUACGGGAGGCUGCAGUAGGGAAUCUUCCACAAUGGGCGCAAGCCUGAUGGAGCAACGCCGCGUGUGUGAUGAAGGCUUUCGGGUCGUAAAGCACUGUUGUAUGGGAAGAAAUGCUAAAAUAGGGAAUGAUUUUAGUUUGACGGUACCAUACCAGAAAGGGACGGCUAAAUACGUGCCAGCAGCCGCGGUAAUACGUAUGUCCCGAGCGUUAUCCGGAUUUAUUGGGCGUAAAGCGAGCGCAGACGGUUGAUUAAGUCUGAUGUGAAAGCCCGGAGCUCAACUCCGGAAUGGCAUUGGAAACUGGUUAACUUGAGUGUUGUAGAGGUAAGUGGAACUCCAUGGG